rnacentral:rRNA from 1 species
UUCGGCCAUGAGUACAGCGGCGAACGGGUGAGUAACACGUGGGUGAUCUGCCUCGGAGUGGGGGAUAACCUGGGGAAACUCGGGCUAAUACCGCAUACGUCGGCAGGGCUACGGCCCUGUCGGGAAAGCCGGCCUCUGCUUGCAAGCUGGCGCUUUGAGAGGAGCCCGCGUCUGAUUAGCUAGUUGGUGAGGUAACGGCUCACCAAGGCGACGAUCAGUAGCCGGCCUGAGAGGGUGAUCGGCCACACUGGGACUGAGACACGGCCCAGACUCCUACGGGAGGCAGCAGUGGGGAAUAUUGGACAAUGGGCGAAAGCCUGAUCCAGCAACGCCGCGUGGAGGAAGAAGGCCUUCGGGUCGUAAACUCCUGUCAGGUGGGAAGAAAACGCGGGGGUGAAUAACCCUCGCGGUUGACGGUACCAUCAGAGGAAGCCCCGGCUAACUCCGUGCCAGCAGCCGCGGUAAUACGGAGGGGGCGAGCGUUAUUCGGAAUUAUUGGGCGUAAAGGGCGCGCAGGCGGCCUGGCAAGUCUCGGGUGAAAUCCCUCGGCUCAACCGAGGAAUUGCCCUGGAUACUGUCGGGCUCGAGGCCGGGAGGGGGUAGCGGAAUUCCCAGUGUAGCGGUGAAAUGCGUAGAUAUUGGGAGGAACACCAGUGGCGAAGGCGGCUACCUGGACCGGUUCUGACGCUG